rnacentral:rRNA from 1 species
GAUGAACGCUGGCGGCGUGCCUAAUACAUGCAAGUCGAGCGAAUGGAUUAAGAGCUUGCUCUUAUGAAGUUAGCGGCGGACGGGUGAGUAACACGUGAGUAACCUGCCCAUAAGACUGGGAAAACUCCGGGAAACCGGGGCUAAUACCGGAUAACAUUUUGAACCGCAUGGUUCGAAAUUGAAAGGCGGCUUCGGCUGUCACUUAUGGAUGGACCAGCGUCGCAUUAGCUAGUUGGUGAGGUAACGGCUCACCAAGGCAACGAUGCGUAGCCUACCUGAGAGGGUGAUCGGCCACACUGGGACUGAGACACGGCCCAGACUCCUACGGGAGGCAGCAGUAGGGAAUCUUCCGCAAUGGACGAAAGUCUGACGGAGCAACGCCGCGUUAGUGAUGAAGGCUUUCGGGUCGUAAAACUCUGUUGUUAGGGAAGAACAAGUGCUAGUUGAAUAAGCUGGCACCUUGACGGUACCUAACCAGAAAGCCACGGCUAACUACGUGCCAGCCGCCGCAGUAA